UUAAGUGACGAUAGCCUAGGAGAUACACCUGUUCCCAUGCCGAACACAGCCGUUAAGCCCUAGAACGCCUGAAGUAGUUGGGGGUUGCCCCCUGUGAGAUAGGGUAGUUGCUUAGC
rnacentral:rRNA from 1 species